AGAGUUUGAUCCUGGCUCAGGAUGAACGCUAGCUACAGGCUUAACACAUGCAAGUCGAGGGGAAACGAUAUUGGAAGCUUGCUUCCGAUAGGCGUCGACCGGCGCACGGGUGAGUAACGCGUAUCCAACCUGCCCACCACUUGGGGAUGACCUUGCGAAAGUAGGACUAAUACCCAAUGAUAUCUCUAGAAGACAUCUGAAAGAGAUUAAAGAUUUAUCGGUGAUGGAUGGGGAUGCGUCUGAUUAGCUUGUUGGCGGGGUACGGCCCACCAAGGCAACGAUCAGUAGGGGUUCUGAGAGGAAGGUCCCCCACAUUGGAACUGAGACACGGUCCAAACUCCUACGGGAGGCAGCAGUGAGGAAUAUUGGUCAAUGGACGAGAGUCUGAACCAGCCAAGUAGCGUGCAGGAAGACGGCCCUAUGGGUUGUAAACUGCUUUUAUAAGGGAAUAAAGUGAGAGUCGUGACUCUUUUUGCAUGUACCUUAUGAAUAAGGACCGGCUAAUUCCGUGCCAGCAGCCGCGGUAAUACGGGAGGUCCGGGCGUUAUCCGGAUUUAUUGGGUUUAUAGGGAGCGUAGGCCGGAGAUUAAGCGUGUUGUGAAAUGUAGAUGCUCAACAUCUGCACUGCAGCGUGAACUGGUUUCCUUGAGUACGCAUAAAGUGGGCGGAAUUCGUGGUGUAGCGGUGAAAUGCUUAGAUAUCACGAAGAACUCCGAUUGCGAAGGCAGCUCACUGGGGCGCAACUGACGCUGAAGCUCGAAAGCGCGGGUAUCGAACAGGAUUAGAUACCCUGGUAGUCCGCGCGGUAAACGAUGGAUGCCCGCUGUUGGGCCAACUGGUUCAGCGGCCAAGCGAAAGCACUAAGCAUCCCACCUGGGGAGUACGCCGGCAACGGUGAAACUCAAAGGAAUUGACGGGGGCCCGCACAAGCGGAGGAACAUGUGGUUUAAUUCGAUGAUACGCGAGGAACCUUACCCGGGCUUGAAUUGCAGAGGAAGGAUUUGGAGACAAUGACGCCCUUCGGGGUCUCCGUGAAGGUGCUGCAUGGUUGUCGUCAGCUCGUGCCGUGAGGUGUCGGCUUAAGUGCCAUAACGAGCGCAACCCCUCUCCUUAGUUGCCAUCAGGUUAAGCUGGGCACUCUGGGGACACUGCCACCGUAAGGUGUGAGGAAGGUGGGGAUGACGUCAAAUCAGCACGGCCCUUACGUCCGGGGCUACACACGUGUUACAAUGGCAGGUACAGAGAGACGGU
rnacentral:rRNA from 1 species